rnacentral:rRNA from 1 species
GUGGGGAAUCUUCCGCAAUGGACGAAAGUCUGACGGAGCAACGCCGCGUGAGUGAAGAAGGUUUUCGGAUCGUAAAGCUCUUUCGUUAGGGACGAACGUGCUCUUUGUGAAUAAUGAGGAGUAAUGACGGUACCUAAAUAAGAAGCCACGGCUAACUACGUGCCAGCAGCCGCGGUAAUACGUAGGUGGCAAGCGUUGUCCGGAAUUAUUGGGCGUAAAGCGCGCGCAGGCGGGAUAUCAAGUCUGUCUUAAAAGUGGGAGGCUCAACCUCGUGAGGGGACAGAAACUGGUAUUCUUGAGUGUCGGAGAGGAAAGUGGAAUUCCAAGUGUAGCGGUGAAAUGCGUAGAGAUUUGGAAGAACACCAGUGGCGAAGGCGACUUUCUGGACGAUGUCUGACGCUGAGGCGCGAAAGCUAGGGGAGCGAACGGGAUUAGAUACCCCAGUAGUCC